AUGGGACGUUCAGCCCCGCCCCGGCCCCGCCCCCGCCCCCGCCCCCUGCCCGGCUGCCUGAGUCCCCAUCUCUCUCUCUCUCUCUCUCUCUCUCCAGGAGCCCCGGCCCUAAACCCCGCCCCCGUCUCGCUCCCGCCCCGCCUCCGGCCCACGCCGCAGUCUCUCUCCCUCUCCCGGGUCCUGAGGCCCCGCCCCUGGCCCCGCCCCUGGCCCCGCCCCCCCGCCCCGCCCAUCGCUCGCUUUCCCCCGCCCACAUUCUCCCCGGGCCUGAGGCCCCGCCCCGGCCCCGCCCCCGGGCCGCUCCCGCCCCGCCCCCCGCCCCCGGCCCGCGCCGCAGUCUCUCUCCCCGCGUCCCCCGUCCCGAGGCCCCGCCCCGGCCCCGCCCCCGGCCCGCCCAUCGCUCGCGUUCCCCCGCCCACGUCCUUCCCGGGCCUGAGGCCCCGCCCCGGCCCCGCCCCGGCCCCGCCCCGGCCCCGCCCCCGCCUCGCUCCCGCCCCGCCCCCGGCCCGCGUCGCCGUCUCUCUCGCCCUCCCCGGGCCGCGCGGCCGGAGCUGGCACCGAGGAGCGGCGGCCGCGGCGGCAUCGCGGCCUGGGGACGCCCUCGCUCCGCCGGGCUCGGCGCGCGGAUCUGCGUCCCGCGGCGCGGGGCUGCCCGGAGCGCCCGGCGGUCCCCGAGGGCGGGCGUGUCCGCGCGGCGCGGGGCGCGGGGCGCGGGGCGGGGGGCGCGGGGCGCGGGGCCGCAGCCCGUGGGAGCGCGGGGGGCGCGGGGCGCGGGGAGCCCUGCGGGGGCCGGCGCGGCCCGGGCUCCCGGCCGGAGCAGUUUUCUCGAACUCGCCACCUCGUCCUCAGCGGGGCCGGCGCUGCCGGGAGACCCCGUCCACAGCGGCGCAAGAAAGGAGUGUCAUGCGAAAGGAACAGAAAAGAGCCGUCAGCCUUGGUGAAAGGGGAAGUUUUCUUUCCCGGUUGGUGCUUGGUUACUUCGUGAUUGGAAAAGAAGCCAACCUAGGUGGCUGAAGAGAUCAGAUUUUCGUAGUUGAACAGAUGAAGCUGACAAAGGACGACGUGAAGAUACUUUUCUCUGGGUCAUCGUGGGGGAUGAUGAUGAGUAAGUAAGCCUGAACAAGACAGAUUUGCAAUGAGGGCAGAGAUUUUGAGUUUUUGAAAUCAAGUAGGACUUUGAAACACUUGUGGAGGAUGCUCUUUUCCCAAAAAUGGAAGAAGAAAAAAUUUUCAAAGCACAAGUGUGAAAAGUGGAAAGGGGAGAACGACCAAGUCAACUUCAAGAAUUUCAGUACUUCAUCAGCUCCUUUGGGCAGACGCAGGCACCAGCAUCAUCUGUGUGGGUGAUUUUAUCACCAGACAUGGUUUCCUAUCCUAGGAAUGGUUUCUUAAUUUGCAUUUUUAGAGUACUUACUUUUUUUUUUUUUUUUUUUUUUAAACAAUGUGUGUUUUGACUCUUCGUGUUAGAUUUAUGUAAAGGAAGUAAAUCCCGAAUUCCUAGUAUAUUUGACUCUACCACUGUUUGCUGUGUGAUACAGAAACAUUAGAGGUUUUAACGUUCCUUGAGAUUUUAUUGGAAGCAAAACUGUGUCAGGGACACAGAUAGAUGCUGUAAGUUUCUCUUUUUGGCGACCCUGCUUGCUUUGAAUGAACCGAAUGUCAGCUGGAUUUCACAGCAUGUAUGAUUUACAGUCUGUUUUAUCAAGGCCUUAAAUGUAUGUCUUAUCCUAGGCAGAUGGGAAAUACGCAGAGCACUGUGUUUGACAUGUAUGCCUAAGGA
rnacentral:lncRNA from 1 species